rnacentral:lncRNA from 1 species
CGGAAGGUGGCAGUCGGCGUUGCGGUGUCGUUUGGUCAGCGGAAGAUGGAGGAGACGUUUUUUGAGAGGAGUCUGAGGAUGGGUUUGGAGUUCUCUUCGAAUGAGAACCUCCUAGAGGGUUUGGGGGUGGGAAAACCCUAGGGUUUCUGAAGAAAGAUUGGGCUUGGGUUUUUUUUGUUUUUUUUAUUUUAUUAUUUUGUUUUCAUUUUUAUGUUUCUGUAAUUUUUGUUUUAUUCCUUACACCUCCAUUUUUUGCUCUCAUCACACCAUCCUUUUCCUUUUUGGCAAACCAUAAAAAAGCCUUGGGCUUGGCUGGCGGGUUGGUUUUGCUUCUUGGGAACGAGAAAUCCUUAUCUGCACCCCAUUCUGUAAAAAAAAAAAAAAAGAUUUGGACCAGGGCAUGCUAUCUCGGGUUGCACCCCUAUUUUCAGCCAUACACCCCUAUGUUAUUGGGCCUGGGCCUGUCUGAGUUAUUUGAGUCGCACCUUUUUUUUUUUAUCUUUACACUCCUAUGCUUAUUGGGUAGUUCUUUUGCGUUUUUAUUUGUUGUUUGAUUGUUAAUAUUUACUACAUAUAACCCCUUUACAUGAUCACCCCACCCCCU